rnacentral:rRNA from 1 species
AACCGGUUUUCCUUCCGUAGGGUGAACCUGCGGAGGGAUCAUUAAAGAGUCUUUUUUCAAAAAGCUCCAAACACCUGUGAACAAGCCCUGAAGAAAGCUGCCUCGGCGGGUAGUCAGCGGGCUUCGGCCUACCGGCGUGUUCGGCUCUCUUACCGAGCCGGGCGGCCCGCCAGAGGUAGCAACAAAACUCUUGGUUGCAUUUUAUCGUCAAUAACUUGCGGGAAGAAAACAAGCAAAACUUUCAACAACGGAUCUCUUGGCUCUGGCAUCGAUGAAGAACGCAGCGAAAUGCGAUAAGUAAUGUGAAUUGCAGAAUUCAGUGAAUCAUCGAAUCUUUGAACGCACAUUGCACCCAGUGGCAUUCCGCUGGGUAUGCCUGUUCGAGCGUCAUUUCGGCCCUCAGGCCCCUGUUUGCUUUGGCGGACGUGGGCGCUGGUGUUGGGAGCCGCGGCUGUCCCUCGGGGGACGCUGCAGUCCCCUAAAUUCAACGGCGUACUCGCUGUGGAGCUCUUUGCGUAGUGGUGUUAAAAAUCUUUUCCGCACCGAGCCCCAGCGCAGCGCAGCCGCCAAAACUCCCAAAAUUUCAGAACGCUUGACCUCGAAUCAGGUAGGGUUACCCGCUGAACUUAAGCAUAUCAAUAA